GUCCUCAAUUCAGCAUACAUAGACUAAAAUUAGAAUGAUAGAGGGAAGAUUAGCAUAGCCCCUGAGGUUGGAUGACAUGGGAAUUUAUGAAUUUUCACCAGUUUUU